CACAAGGACACUGAGACACGGGCCCUACUCCUACGGGAGGCAGCAGUGGGGAAUCUUGGACAAUGGGCGAAAGCCUGAUCCAGCGACGCCGCGUGAAGGAAGAAGUCCCUCGGGAUGUAAACUUCUGAACUAAUCGAAUAAAAGGGUAGUGGACACACUACAGAAGAAGGUAGGUUAGGAAAAGUCCCGGCUAACUACGUGCCAGCAGCCGCGGUAAGACGUAGGGGGCGAGCGUUGCCCGGAAUUACUGGGUGUAAAGGGGACGUAGGCGGGUGAUCAAGUCAUCUGUGAAAAGAUUGCUCAACGAUCGGCUUGCGGAUGAAACUGAUCAUCUUGGGCGUAGCAGAGGUAGACGGAAUUACCUGAGUAGGGGUGAAAUCCGCAGAUACAGGUAAGAACGCCGGUGAAGAAGUUGGUCUACUGGGCUACAGCUGACGCUGAGGUCCGAAAGCCAGGGGAGCAAACCGGAUUAGAUACCCGGGUAGUCCUGGCCCUAAACGAU
rnacentral:rRNA from 1 species